ACUUCCCUCUGCUCACUAAGGUUAGAACAAUCAGGACAUGGCUGACACCGGUGACAAGAAGCCUAAUGCCAAUGCCAAGGUGAAAGUCAAGCAUGGAGGUGGUGGUGGUGGUGGGGGGAAGAAGAAGGAGGUGAAGAAAGAAACCGGCCUCGGUUUGACCAAGAAGAAGGAUGAGAAUUUUGGGGAGUGGUAUUAGGAGGUAUGAUGUUUCUUUGAACUAGGUUGUGUUCGGCAAUUUAUUUGAACAAGUGUAAGCGAGAUUUUUGGGUGUUGUUUUUGUUCCGUGCAGGUUGUUGUUUUCGGUGAGAUGAUUGAAUACUAUGACAUAUCUGGUUGUUAUAUUUUGAGGCCAUGGACAAUGGCAAUAUGGGAGACCAUGCAAGCAUUCUUCGAUGCAGAAAUAAAGAAAAUGAAGAUUAAAAAUUGCUACUUUCCUUUGUUCGUCUCCCCUGCUGUUCUGGAAAAAGAGAAGGAUCAUAUAGAGGGUUUGAAACUUUGAAGGAUCAUAUAACGGGUUUGCUGAUGAGAAUGUGAUUGGUGAAGGGGACAAGCUGAGAAGGAGUUCAAGGUUGAAGUGGAAGCAAUUGGUCGUGUU